CUGCCUUCUGCCCUCCUCUCCCCUUUUGUGACUGGAAGGUGCUCAGUGACAAGUGGCUGGGAGGCAGGGAAAGAAAAGAACGCUCUAGAGGUGACCUGUUGCUCUCAUCUCUUCCUGUUCCAUUUAUAUCAGGGAGAAGUAUUUGCCCUUGGCGACGUGCUGUUUCCCGCUGGGUCUCGCCUCUUCCUGUCUCUCAUCCCUCUCCACCUCUACCUUUUCUCAUAAUGGCAGAUUGACUUCUCCAGCCGUGCAGCCAAGCUGCGUAACAUAACACGUCCAAGUGCAGGCAGGUGACUUGAAUUGAGGAAUUCCUGUCUUUGUGAGGAGAGCAGCCAGGCUUCUGCUGAUCAGGUUUCACUGUCACAAGGACAAAGCUUGAGAAAUUUGGAGACACCGUUGUUUGAACUGCUCUCUCCACGGCACAGUGGACUUUGAAUAAGUGGGAUCCUGGCUUUUGCAACACGGUGGAGCUGUCUUUUCCCAGUCUCAACAACGGAUCACAAAGUUGUUUUCCUGACUUGAGGUUAAACAUUUUUAUUACAUCUAUCUAUUAAUUUUGUAUGUGCAUGCCACGGCCCAUACAUGGAGGUCAGAGGGCAGCCCAAGGGGCUUGGUUCUCUUCCUCCACAAUGUAGGUCCCGGGGAUGGAAAUCUGAUUGUUAGGUUAGGUAAAAAGUGCCGUAAACCACAGAACCAUCCACCCGGUGCUUGAUUUGAGAUUUUAUUUUAGACUGUAGUGGGUAGCCAUUCCAGCUUUGAUCUGGAAGUUCCAAGCCCCAUUGAGACUUCGGCAACUGUCACGCCUACAAGGCGGGGCCAAGGGAGGCACCUGGAGACUCGAGAUCUGGAUGGGCCAGUUCUCUCCCUGUUCUGGGACCCUGGACGGUGGAGGUGGGCCAAGCAGAGCUCCAGAGAACACCGCUGGACUGCGAUACACCUUCCCCAGACCCCGCGACCUACCUAUCCCUUAAUUUGUAAGUUACGCCAUUAAAUAAAUCUCCUUUUAAC